rnacentral:rRNA from 1 species
AGGGUGUAAACGCUGCAGACUUGGUGUUGGGAACCCUUCGGGGGUGCUCAGUGCCGGAGAGAAGUUGUUAAGUCUGCUACUUGGGGAGUACGUCCGCAAGGAUGAAACUUAAAGGAAUUGGCGGGGGAGCACCGCAACGGGAGGAGCGUGCGGUUUAAUUGGAUUCAACACCGUAAAACUCACCAGGGAAGACUGUUACAUGAAAGCCGAGAUGAAGACUCUGCUAGAUUUUUCAGAGAGGAGGUGCAUGGCGUCAGUGACU